AACGAACGCUGGCGGCAGGCUUAACACAUGCAAGUCGAACGCCCCGCAAGGGGAGUGGCCGACGGGUGAGUAACGCGUGGGAAUCUACCCAUCCCUACGGAAUAACGCAUGGAAACGUGUGCUAAUACCGUAUACGCCCUACGGGGGAAAGAUUUAUCGGGGAUGGAUGAGCCCGCGUUGGAUUAGCUAGUUGGUGGGGUAAAGGCCUACCAAGGCGACGAUCCAUAGCUGGUCUGAGAGGAUGAUCAGCCACAUUGGGACUGAGACACGGCCCAAACUCCUACGGGAGGCAGCAGUGGGGAAUAUUGGACAAUGGGCGCAAGCCUGGUCCAGCCAUGCCGCGUGAGUGAUGAAGGCCUUAGGGUUGUAAAGCUCUUUCACCGGAGAAGAUAAUGACGGUAUCCGGAGAAGAAGCCCCGGCUAACUUCGUG
rnacentral:rRNA from 1 species